rnacentral:rRNA from 1 species
AACGCUAGCUACAGGCUUAACACAUGCAAGUCGAGGGGCAGCACAAGGCAGCAAUGCUGUGGUGGCGACCGGCGCACGGGUGCGUAACGCGUAUCCAACCUUCCCGUUACUCAUGGAUAGCCUUCCGAAAGGGAGAUUAAUACAUGAUGGUGUUGAAAUUCCGCAUGUUAUUUCAACUAAAGAUUUAUCGGUAACGGAUGGGGAUGCGUGACAUUAGAUAGUAGGCGGGGUAACGGCCCACCUAGUCUACGAUGUCUAGGGGUUCUGAGAGGAAGGUCCCCCACACUGGAACUGAGACACGGUCCAGACUCCUACGGGAGGCAGCAGUGAGGAAUAUUGGUCAAUGGCCGGAAGGCUGAACCAGCCAAGUAGCGUGAAGGAUGAAGGUUCUAUGGAUUGUAAACUUCUUUUAUGAGGGAAUAAAACCUCCCACGUGUGGGAGCUUGUAUGUACCUUAUGAAUAAGCAUCGGCUAACUCCGUGCCAGCAGCCGCGGUAAUACGGAGGAUGCGAGCGUUAUCCGGAUUUAUUGGGUUUAAAGGGAGCGUAGACGGGAGAUUAAGUCAGCUGUGAAAGUUUGAGGCCCAACCUUAAAAUUGCAGUUGAUACUGGUUUCCUUGAGUGCGGUUGAGGUGUAUGGAAUUCGUGGUGUAGCGGUGAAAUGCUUAGAUAUCACGAAGAACUCCGAUUG